AUAACCACAACAUUAAGAGGAGGAGAAUGGAAAGGGCUUUAAAUUACCAACAAAUCAAAAUAUAUAGACCAAGUUAGUUUAUUCUAAGAGUUGGCUAAAAUGUUCACAAUAUACUUGCUAACUUAUUUCAGAAUUCAAUGUGUCAAUGAAGAGGUCAUUAGCAAGGUUGAGUUUAUCCAAAUUGGUAAUUAAAAAUGACUUGUCUAAAAUUCUACACCCUAUCUUAUUUCACAAUAUGUAAUGAUCAACAAAGUGAUAUGUAUAGACCAAGCCAAGUAAAUCUGAGUUCAUUCAAGCAUGCUAGCUUAUUUUGAAAUAUAAUGUAUAAAUGCCCUCAGUUCUUAUCCAUUCUACACAAUAAUCACAAUAUUAACAGCAAGUAAAUGAAAAGGCCAUGAAAUGAUUGUCAAAGCAAAAUAGAUAGAUCAGGCUGAUAAUACACACUAUUAGAUCAUUCAAGUCUGGAAUUUAAAAACGUCUUAGCUAUAAUCACAAUAUUAAGAG
rnacentral:lncRNA from 1 species